rnacentral:rRNA from 1 species
CAGUAGCCGCGGUAAUACAGAGGGUGCAAGCGUUAAUCGGAAUUACUGGGCGUAAAGCGCGCGUAGGUGGUUUGUUAAGUUGGAUGUGAAAUCCCCGGGCUCAACCUGGGAACUGCAUUCAAAACUGACUGACUAGAGUAUGGUAGAGGGUGGUGGAAUUUCCUGUGUAGCGGUGAAAUGCGUAGAUAUAGGAAGGAACACCAGUGGCGAAGGCGACCACCUGGACUAAUACUGACACUGAGGUGCGAAAGCGUGGGGAGCAAACAGGAUUAGAUACCCUAGUAGUCCCUGUCUCUUAUAC